rnacentral:rRNA from 1 species
UUAGAUACCCUAUUAUUGAAGAUAAUUUUUAAAGCUUAAUUAUUAAUAGAUAUAUUCUUAAAAUUUAAAAAAUAUGGCGGUAUUUUAGACUUUUCAGAGGAACCUGUUUUUUAAUUGAUAAUCCACGAUCAAAUUAACUUAAAUUAGAAAUUUAUAUAUCGUUGUAAUAAAUAUUUUUUUAAAAUAAAAUAUUUAAAAUAUUUUUUUAAUAAUAAUUCAAAUCAAGAUGUAGUUUAUAUUUAAGAUUUAAUGGGUUACAAUAAAUUUAAUUUUUAGUUUAUAAAUUUAUAAUUUAUAAUAAAUUGGAUUUGAAAGUAA